rnacentral:rRNA from 1 species
GACGAACGCUGGCGGCGUGCCUAAUACAUGCAAGUCGAACGCACUCUCGCUUAGAUUGUGGGCUUUUGCUCCUGCUUGAUAAACAUUUGAGUGAGUGGCGGACGGGUGAGUAACACGUGGGUAACCUGGCCUAAAGUGGGGGAUAACAUUUGGAAACAGAUGCUAAUACCGCAUAAAACCUAACACCGCAUGGUGUAGGGUUGAUAGAUGGUUUCGGCUAUCACUGUAGGAUGGACCCGCGCUGCAUUAGUUAGUGGGUGGGGUAAAGGCUCACCAAGACGGGGAGGCGUAGCCGAACUGAGAGGGUGAUCGGCCACACUGGGACUGAGACACGGCCCAGACUCCUACGGGAGGCAGCAGUAGGGAAUCUUCGACAAUGGACGAAAGUCUGAUGGAGCAACGCCGCGUGAGUGAAGAAGGUGUUCGGAUCGUAAAGCUCUGUUGUUGGAGAAGAAUGUAUCUGAUAGUAACUGAUCAGGUAGUGACGGUAUCCAAUCAGAAAGCCACGGCUAACUACGUG